UACGUAUGGUGCAAGCGUUAUCCGGAUUUACUGGGUGUAAAGGGAGCGUAGGCGGCGCGUUAAGUCUGAUGUGAAAACCCGAGGCUCAACCACGGGAGUGCAUUGGAAACUGGCGUGCUGGAGUGCCGGAGAGGUAAGCGGAAUUCCUAGUGUAGCGGUGAAAUGCGUAGAUAUUAGGAGGAACACCAGUGGCGAAGGCGGCUUACUGGACGGCAACUGACGCUGAGGCUCGAAAGCGUGGGGAGCAAAUAGG
rnacentral:rRNA from 1 species